UCUCAGAGAUUAAGCCAUGCAUGUCUAAGUACAUACCUUAAAACGGUGAAACCGCGAAUGGCUCAUUAAAUCAGCUAUGGUUCCUUAGAUCGUAAACGCUACAUGGAUAACUGUAGUAAUUCUAGAGCUAAUACAUGCCUUGAAUCCCUGACCCGAAAGGGGACGGGUGCAUUUAUUAGAACAGAACCAACCGGGUGCGGCCUGUGCUGUGCCUGUUACAUUCUGUGAUGACUCUGGAUAACUUUACUGAUCGCAGUCGGCCAUUUUGUGUCGGCGACGGAUCUUUCAAAUGUCUGCCCUAUCAAUUUGUUGGUAGGUGAUUUGCCUACCAUGAUGAUAACGGGUAACGGGGAAUCAGGGUUCGAUUCCGGAGAGGGAC
rnacentral:rRNA from 2 species